GACGAAGGAUGCAAGCGUUAUCCGGAUUCAUUGGGUUUAAAGGGAGCGUAGGUGGUCUUAUAAGUCAGUGGUGAAAUCCUGUCGCUUAACGAUAGAAUUGCCAUUGAUACUGUAGGACUUGAGUACAGUUGCCGUUGGCGGAAUAUGACAUGUAGUGGUGAAAUGCUUAGAUAUGACAUAGAACACCUAUUGCGAAGGCAGCAAACUACGCAUAUAUUGACGCUGAGGCACGAAAGCGUGGGGAUCAAACAGG
rnacentral:rRNA from 1 species